UAUUUUCACAGUGACAAAAAAUAGAAAACUGUAUUUUACUUUUGCUUGGAUUAUUUUGUGGAAACAGUUUUUGAAAAACUAAAAACCGAUAGUUACAUUUUAGAGAACAAUAAAAAGGUGUACUCACAAUUCUUGAGUUGCGAUUCUCACUUUUUAGGAAACACGGAGAACAAUUUAUACUUAAAAAAAUCACGUUGAAGGGCAUCGUCUAAAACAUCAUCCUAAUCUUAUCGAUUUUUCCACCUGAGUCGUCCAUUCCUCCUUCUCCUCUUUCUAUGCACAGAAGUGCUCUUUGUUUGGAUCAUCGAAGUAAUCUAACCUCAUCAAGAAGCUUCUCCCGGUUAUUCCUCCCUCUCUCUAACAGAACAUAACUCAGCUUUCUUUCCAGGUUUCUUCAUCGAUUAGAUCUCAUCUUCUCUGGAUUUCUCACUGGUGUUGGGCUAGCGAUCAACCGGAAAAAGGCUCACGAUCGACUGGUUUAAAGACACUCUUUCAGGUAUUGCUUGUUGCAGUAUUCAUAAUUUUAUCCGUCAAAAUGCACUAGUUGGUUGCUUUUUUAUUGGGUAUGAAGAAGAAGAUGAUGUUAUUGGUAAGGGGAAUGCUAGCACGAUUCAAGGACCGAAUGCAGUUAACUUCUAUGAAACAAGGUCUCAUGGGAUAGAAUCACAUACUUUUACCAGUGAUGUUCAUCCAAAUUUCAUCCAGAUGAUGUUUCACAUAUUUCAUUUUUUUCCAUGUCAUACAUGGAAUAUAUGCUUGUUCUAUUAAUUGCCUUUUAAGUUUGGAUGAGAAGUGAGAAGGUUUAUGUAUGUAGACAUUGAAUUCAUGUAAUGUUAUGAAUGAAAGAAACCCAAAAUACAAGAGCAGUUUUUUGCUACACAA